UUUGGUGCAGCUUUUAUUCCAGACUUCGGGAGGAAAGGGGCAAUGGGCACUGGGUGAAGGACCAAAGAGAAAUCUACUUCAGGAUAAUCAAAAAGCAAAAUUGACAUCCUUCUCCAUCUCAGGACCUGAUACCAUUCUCAUCAUAGCCAUCAGUUGUGCCAGCAUCCUUCUCUUCUUGGUCUUGCUAAGCUAUUAUCUCCAUCGUAUCAUGGCUGCUCAUAAAGAAGCCCGGAGAAGGGACCCAGGAUGCCAGUCUCAACAUCCUCCUUCCAUUCACCCUAGAACAUCCAAUGAAGAAGCCACAUGUAAGUCUCUGGACAAGAAAGGACAGGAUCCUGGGAGUGUGAGUGGGG
rnacentral:lncRNA from 1 species